GACGAACGCUGGCGGCGUGCUUAACACAUGCAAGUCGAACGGAAAGGCCCUGCUUUUGUGGGGUGCUCGAGUGGCGAACGGGUGAGUAACACGUGUGUAACCUGCCCUUGACUUUGGGAUAACUUCAGGAAACUGGGGCUAAUACCGGAUAGGAGCUCCUGCUGCAUGGUGGGGGUUGGAAAGUUUCGGCGGUUGGGGAUGGACUCGCGGCUUAUCAGCUGGUUGGUGAGGUAGUGACAUACCAAGGUUUCGACGGGUAGCCGGCCUGAGAGGGUGACCGGCGACAAUGGGACUGAGAUACGGCCCAGACGCCUACGGGAGGCAGCGGUGGGGAAUAUUGCGCAAUAGGCGGAAGCCUGAUGCAGCAACGCUGCGUGCGGGAUAACGGCCUUCGGGUUGUAAACCGCUUUCGCCUGUGACGAAGCGUGAGUGACGGUAAUGGGUAAAGAAGCACCGGCUAACUACGUG
rnacentral:rRNA from 1 species